UACGUAGGGGGCUAGCGUUGUCCGGAAUCAUUGGGCGUAAAGCGCGUGUAGGCGGUUCGGUAAGUCCGCUGUGAAAGUCGGGGGCUCAACCCUCGGAUGCCGGUGGAUACUGUCGGGCUUGAGUACGGAAGAGGCGAAUGGAAUUCCUGGUGUAGCGGUGGAAUGCGCAGAUAUCAGGAGGAACACCAAUAGCGAAGGCAGCUCGCUGGGACGGUAUUGACGCUAAGGCGCGAAAGCGUGGGGAGCAAACAGG
rnacentral:rRNA from 1 species